CCCUGGUUAGCUCAGUUGGUAGAGCGCUCCACUUGUAAUGGAGCGGUCCCGGGUUCGAUACCCGGACCAGGCG
rfam:Ixodes scapularis strain Wikel colony gcontig_1108378223330, whole genome shotgun sequence.